rnacentral:rRNA from 1 species
UACAGAGGGUGCGAGCGUUGUUCGGAAUUAUUGGGCGUAAAGAGCUCGUAGGUGGUUCGGUAAGUCGGGUGUUAAACCCCCAGGCUCAACCUGGGGACGCCACUCGAUACUGCUGUGACUAGAGUCCGGUAGGGGAGCGUGGAAUUCCUGGUGUAGCGGUGAAAUGCGCAGAUAUCAGGAGGAACACCAGCGGCGAAGGCGGCGCUCUGGGCCGGUACUGACACUGAGGAGCGAAAGCGUGGGUAGCAAACAGG